rnacentral:rRNA from 1 species
GACGAACGCUGGCGGCGUGCUUAACACAUGCAAGUCGAACGGAAAGGCCCUGCUUUUGUGGGGUGCUCGAGUGGCGAACGGGUGAGUAACACGUGAGUAACCUGCCCUUGACUUUGGGAUAACUUCAGGAAACUGGGGCUAAUACCGGAUAGGAGCUCCUGCUGCAUGGUGGGGGUUGGAAAGUUUCGGCGGUUGGGGAUGGACUCGCGGCUUAUCAGCUUGUUGGUGGGGUAGUGGCUUACCAAGGCUUUGACGGGUAGCCGGCCUGAGAGGGUGACCGGCCACAGUGGGACUGAGAUACGGCCCAGACGCCUACGGGAGGCAGCGGUGGGGAAUAGUGCACAAUGGGCGGAAGCCUGAUGCAGCAACGCCGCGUGCGGGAUGACGGCCUUCGGGGUGUAACCCGCUUUCGCCUGUGACGAAGCGUGAGUGACGGUAAUGUGUAAAGAAGCACCGGCUAACUACGUG